rnacentral:rRNA from 1 species
CCUACGGGUGGCAGCAGUGAGGAAUAUUGGUCAAUGGGAGAGAUCCUGAACCAGCCAAGCCGCGUGAGGGAAGACGGCCCUAUGGGUUGUAAACCUCUUUUGUCGGAGAACAAAACCCGGGACGUGUCCCGGACUGCGUGUAUCCGAAGAAAAAGCAUCGGCUAACUCCGUGCCAGCAGCCGCGGUAAUACGGAGGAUGCGAGCGUUAUCCGGAUUUAUUGGGUUUAAAGGGUGCGUAGGCGGAAGGUUAAGUCAGCGGUCAAAUGUCGGUGCUCAACACCGGCCUGCCGUUGAAACUGGUCUUCUUGAGUGAGCGAGAAGUAUGCGGAAUGCGUGGUGUAGCGGUGAAAUGCAUAGAUAUCACGCAGAACUCCGAUUGCGAAGGCAGCAUACCGGCGCUCAACUGACGCUGAGGCACGAAAGCGUGGGGAUCGAACAGGAUUAGAUACCCGGGUAGUC